rnacentral:rRNA from 1 species
ACGGAACGUACCUUUCAGGUGGGGAUAACGUAGCGAAAGUUACGCUAAUACCGCAUAUUCUGUGAGCAGGAAAGCAGGGGAUCGCAAGACCUUGCGCUGAUUGAGCGGCCGAUAUCAGAUUAGCUAGUUGGUGAGGUAAAGGCUCACCAAGGCGACGAUCUGUAGCGGGUCUGAGAGGAUGAUCCGCCACACUGGAACUGAGACACGGUCCAGACUCCUACGGGAGGCAGCAGUGGGGAAUUUUGGACAAUGGGCGCAAGCCUGAUCCAGCCAUGCCGCGUGAGUGAAGAAGGCCUUCGGGUUGUAAAGCUCUUUCGGCCGGGAAGAAAUCGCACAGGUUAAUACCCUGUGUGGAUGACGGUACCGGAAUAAGAAGCACCGGCUAACUACGUG